AUACCUUUCUCGGCCUUUUGGCUAAGAUCAAGUGUAGUAUCUGUUCUUAUCAGUUUAAUAUCUGAUACGUGGGCCAUCGGCUCACAUGAUAUUAAAUUAAUUUUUCUUGGGGGAAGGCCCACCACUGUAGCUAGCUACUGGGGCUUUCAAGCAUCGCCUAUGCGUUGCACUACUGCAUGGGCCUGGUGCACCCCCA
rfam:Nelumbo nucifera unplaced genomic scaffold scaffold00230, whole genome shotgun sequence